rnacentral:lncRNA from 1 species
UUGGGUGCUUCCCUGAUGAAUAUGAAGUAGCUGGAGCUUCUCCUAAGCGUCAGUGACAGUGGCCUCCUCAAAUAGAGCCUUUCUUAGUUCAUCCAUCCAUCUUUCCAUCCGUUCAGCAAACAUUUGCUGAGCCCCUGCUGUGGGCUACACCGCAAGGAAGAAGUUAACGGUGCAGCCUGAUGCCUGCUUUCAGGACGUGUACGGUCUAGUAGACAGAAGAAGACACUGUAAAGGACUGGGAGUGAAAUGUCAGAUUCCCAGGGUUAUUAUGCUGAAGAUCCGAUUUCCCUUCAAGAAAUUCUCUCUGGCUCCUGCGAAUGGAACAGCGGACGGAGGAGAGGCAUGGCUGCCCAUCAGCUGCUACCUCCGCUGGCACUGAGUCGCCGCCUUUGUGAAUUUCCUGCAAGCAGAGCGCUGCCCUGAAGCUCCUCUCUUGUUUCGCUCUUUCCUGGUGGCUGACCUGCCUUCAGUCCUCUAGAGUGGAAGCUCCAUGAAGCUUUCUCUAGUUUGCUCGCUGCUGAGACUCUGGCACCAACAGAAUCCCUGGAACCAUGAGACGCACCAUCCUAGUUGUUGGGCCAGUGAGCGACUUUUACCUGAAACCUGAGUGAGGCAGAAUGCUAGAAGCACAGAGAGAGAGAGGCUCCUGUGGCUGUUUGUCGCUCAAAGAGGCUCCAGUCUGCUCCCCAGGAAUCCUUUAAGGAUUUGACCUUCAUCAAAGCUGCUGCAGGUCCAUCAGCUUCGUUCCCCUGGAACUAAAGAGCCUUGUAAGAACUUCAUGAGGACCAUUCAUCCAGGGAGUCCUCAACCUCAGUUCUCACAGACAGAAGAUGGAGAUCUGAGAGGCUUACAGGAGAAAAAGUUAAGGAGCCUGUCAAGAAGAGGAUGGACAGACCAAAGAAAACAGCCCACGGCAGCAGACACCUGAGAUACAGCCUGGAAAUCUCUGGGAGGACAGGGCUCGGUGCUGAGAUGAAGAUGCUCAAGACACGUCCACGGGAUGAGCAAACGUGCUCGCUUCCGAGGUCCUCUCCACCCGCCGGCGUGUCCCAGCCUACAAACGACUGUUCUCGCACGCUGGGGUCUCUCUCCAUCCCCCUCUCUCUGUCUGUCUCCCACUCUCUCCAUCUCUGCCUUUGUCUUUUUCUGUCUGUCUCUGUCUGUCUCUCUGUUUCUCUCGGAAUGGUGCUAACAAGGAGGGAGAGGUGGAGGAUUGAAACCUGCUCCGUCAAAAUUAUUUGAUCUGUUUCCAUCUUUCCGUCGGGCCCCAGUGAACACCCCAUGAGCUCUCUGCUGCCAUGUUAAUAUCCCGGGAGAUGCUAUCUGGUGGCCCACAUCUCAUGCCAGAGGCAACACCCGCUCCCAAAGAAUCCCAGCCCGCGUCCCACCCUUCUGAGAGAGGCAGAGCCCAUCUCCCUUGACGCCUGUGUGGCUGAGGCGGUUUUUUCUUGAACUCUGCACCUUGGGAACAUUUUUAUGUGCCUCUUGCCAAACCUGAAACUUGAUGUUGGGAUUGUUGGUGAUCCUCCAAGAGGCCGGGCCUCCAGUUCAGGCACCAGAACACACCUGGCCACUCCCAGAAGCUCUUUUCCCAAGUGCCAGGAAGCUGCACCUCGUCUUCGGGGUAGGAGCAGCUUGGGAGAAUGGCCCAGAAUCUUCCAGAAUCACUUUCAUUCUGUUAUCUUGAAACAAACACAUUAACCUGCAGAUGUGGCUACUGGGUGUAGCCUCUACUGAGACUGAAUCAAUUGGCCCCCAGUGCAAACACAUCGUUAAAUGAAUAUGCACGUAACAUAUUCACUUAUAAUUGAUGUGUUUGCAUGCUUUUCCCUGUCUUUUGCCACUCACCCUUUGUUUUAAAUAUCACUGACCGCCUGCCGACCAUGCCACUCCUCCAUGCACUAUUAUUGAGACAUGGAGUGAUUUAAAGAAACACAUAUAAACAUCUCCCUCUGACACACCGUUCGUUCCACCCGAAUCCCUUUAAGGAGACGUAUAUUCCUAUGGUUUAGAUCAUGUAAGUUACUUUUCCAUGCAUUGUCUUUUCUAAUAUUUAUUUAUUUGGAUUUAUUUGGCUGCGCAGGGCUGUGGUUGUGGCACUUGGAAUCUUUAGUUGCGGUGUGUGACCUCUUAGUCUCGGCACGCGGGAUCUGGCUCCCCGAGCAGGAACCGAACCCGGGGCCCCCUGCGUUGGGAGCGCAGAGUCUUAGGCACUGGGCCACCAGGCAAGUCCCUGGAUCAU